GCGGGUAUGGCGGAACUGGCAGACGCUAUGGCCUUAGAAGCCGUUGGGAGAAAUCCCGUGGGGGUUCAAAUCCCUCUACCCGCACCA
rnacentral:tRNA from 1 species